CCAUAGCGACCAGAGAGCAUUGAGGCGCAGAGAGGAUCGGACGUUACUCUCAGUGUUGUUGGUGCAUUUCAGGAGGGGUACCAGUCGAUGAACUGGUUUUUGAACUGCAACAGCGUCCAGAUUUUGAUGAAAUUCGGCCGAUGGUCCGCUGGCUUGAAUUCGGUGUGUUGCGUGGCCUCUUAACUGAGGAAAACCUCCGUGUUCUGGGCCAAGUUAUUCAUCAAGUGCAACAAGAUGAUGAGGAGGAGGACAGAUUUCAGGACAAUGACGAAGAGGCUGAAAACGGAGAGGAGGAACAGGCUGAUGUUCCAGUAGCGGGGAUAGAAAUAAAUCCACCUCAGGAAGUAGAAGGACCCCGGGUCAAUAACAGAGCAGAAAUCCCAGCAGGAGAAAUUGAAAUACACCCGGCCCAGCAAGCAGAAGAUGAAGUACUUGAAGAAAUGAGGUGGUUCUGGGAUGAUGAGGAGGAUGAGAGUGACAACGAAAGUGUCCCUGAGAGUGGUCCUGACAGUGACACUGACAACAACGACACUGAUAACAACAACAAUGACACUGAUGAGAAUGACGAUGAUGAUGGUGGAGACAUUGUUCAGGAUGCCCCUGUGCCACUGCCCCCCAGCCCAGUGCCGGGAGGUUCAAGGAGGAGACCAAGGGAGGAGGAGGAUGAUGAAGAAGAAGAUGGGGCACCCAGAAAACAACUCAAACUCUGAUUUUUGCUCCUGGACAUCUAGCAAACCCUUCAGAGGAUUCAAAGAUGUACGUUUCAGUGGCAGCUAAAUCUGUGAGUCGUCUGCAUAACAAUGAAAUGAGAUGCCAUGUUUUUUAAAAAUUGAACCCAUAGGGAGCAUAUAAAUUGAAAAAAGAACUGGGCCAAGAAUGGACCCCUAGGGGACCCCACAAGUGAGUGAGGUUUUUGAGGAUGAUGGAUCCUCCAAUCUAACAGAAAAGCUUUGGUUGGACAGAUAAGAUUUAGACCACUCCAAUGCAGUCCCUUUGACUCCGACAGUGUUCAGGCCGAGAGAUAAGAAUCCUAUGAUCUACUUUAUCAAAGGCAGCACUGAGGUCUAAUAGUAUUAAACUGGCAGAAUCUCCCAAGUCAGUAAAAGUGAAAAGGUCAUUAAAACCUUUUAAAAGAGCAGUUUCAGUGCUGUGGUGGGCUUUAAAACCAGACUGAAAUACUUCACUAUUGCCAUUUUUAUCUCGAAAGGUCUGGAGCUGAAGAAUAGGUUCCACCACAGCAUGUUUAAAGUCAGCAGGGACACACCCAGACUGAAGACUGCUAUUGACAAAAGACAGCAAACUCAUACCCACAAUGUCAUAACAUCUUUUACUAAAUCAGAUGGAACAACAUCCAGAGUACAAGUACAGUGAAGAUUUUGAAGCAAUUCACCCGAUGGUCCACUGGCUUCAAAUUGGUCUGCUGCGCGGCCUCUUAACUUAAGAAAAUCUCCGUGUUCUGGGCCAAGUUGUUAAUCAACAGCAACAACAUGAUGUUGAGGAGGACAAUCUUCAGAAUGAUGAGGAAGAGGCUGAUGAGGAAGAGGGGGAAGAGGCUGAUGUUCCAGCAGCAGACACAGAAAUAAAUCCACCUCAAGUUGAAGGACACUGGACCAAUAACAGAGCAGAGAUCCCAGCAGGAGAAAUGGAAAUAAACCCGGCCCAGCAAGCAGAAGAUCCCAUAGCUGAAGAAAUGAGGUUAUACUGGAACAACGAGGAGGCUGAGAGUGACAGUGUCCCUGAGAGUGGUCCUGACAGUGACACCGAUCACAGUGACACUGACGACAACGACAGUGAUGAUGAUGGAGCCAAGGGUGGAGGAGAAUGAUGAAGAGGAAGAUGCGAGACCCAGAAAAUGAUCCAAACACUGAAUUUUGCUCCUGGACACUCAGUGUUGCACCCAUCCUCCAAACCCACAGUCCCCCGUCCUAACAAACUGUAUCUCGGCUUUCCCCCUCUGACGCACUGACUUAGUUUCCUGCCACCAGCGACCUGUUCACCUGACUGCCACGUACCACCUGUGGAUAUCUGUUCAGCCUGUGACCCACUAUGAUUGUGCUUACAAGUGGAAUGCAACAAGUGUGUGUUUCAUACCACUGGUACCUUGUUAGGUGGUGAUGAUCGUGCUCUUACUGGUCGCAGUUAUGGAGGGAGUGGUCCUAUUGGUUGGCUCCCACAUUAGGAAGGCGGGGUUGGGGCCUUCCUAUUAUCAUUAUGCCAACAUUAUUAAUAUGGUAUAGUCUUCCUCCCCUUUUUCCUUCCUGCUGUCACCAAAUGCUUGCUCAUCGGGGCUCAAACUCAUCAGCAACCAGCUGCAGAGGAGCUUGCAUCCACUAAAAGCAGCAGGAACAAAGUCAGGAAACAAAUGCUCCGAAGGAAAAAGUGAAAAACCUCAAAGCAAACAGACACUCAAAGAAAGGAAGACGAAGAAGAGAAAGGAAAGGAGGAAAAACAAAAGACGAGAGAAGAAAUUCACUGAAACAUCACUUGAUGAUUGCACAAAAACUCAGAUCUGACAAACCGUACACCUUGCACAAAGCUUUGGACCUCAUUACAGCACCAGUUGAAGAUGGAGGUUUGGUCCACUCAUCUGGUCUGGGUUCUGCCAACUUCAUUGAAGGGAUAGAUCUUUGCCAUGAAAUGGGUAGCAGUCGAUGAACCGGUUUUUGAACUGCUGCAGUAUCCAGAUUUUGAAGCAAUUCACCCGAUGGUCCACUGGCUUGAGAUCGGUGUGUUGCGUGGCCUCUUAACUUAAGAAAACCUCCGUAUUAUGGGUCAAGUUAUUAAUCAACUGCAACAAGAUGAUGAUGAGGAGGACAAUUUUCAGAAGGAUGAGGCUGAUGAGAAAGAGGCUGAUGUUCCAGCAGCAGGCAUAGAAAUAAAUCCACCUCAAGUUGAAGAACCCUGGCUCAAUAACAGAGCAGAGAUCCCAGCAGGAGAAAUGGAAAUAAACCCAGCCCAACAAGCUGAAGAUCCCAUAGCUGAAGAAAUGAGGUCAUUCUGGGAUAACGAGGAGGCUGAGUGACAGCGACAGUGUCCCUGAGAGUGGUCCUGACAGUGACACCGAUCACAGUGACACUGACGACAGCGACAGUGAUGAUGAUGGAGCCAAGGGUGGAGGAGAAUGAUGAAGAGGAAGAUGGGAGACCCAGAAAACAAUCCAAACACUGAAUUUUGCUCCUGGACACUCAGUGUUGCACCCAUCCUCCAAACCCACAGUCCCCCGUCCUAACAAACUGUAUCUCGGCUUUCCCCCUCUGAUGCACUGACUUAGUUUCCUGCCACCAGCGACCUGUUCACCUGACUGCCACGUACCACCUGUGGAUAUUUGUUCAGCCUGUGACCCACUAUGAUUGUGCUUACAAGUGGAAUG